rnacentral:misc_RNA from 1 species
AACGCAACUUGCGCCCUUUUUGGGCAUGUCUGUUUGAGUACCAUUUUCUCCCUAUCUCUCUCUUGAAAGAGAGGAGAGAUGAUUUGUCUAGUCAGUUAAUAGCUAGCUAGAUUAAAUGUAGUACUUCUACACACUCUGUUGGAGUAAACGGUGUAAACCGAGCUAGAGACUUUUUAGUCUUGUCGGUGAACCCAUUUAUUAUAACAACAUAUGUACCAAUUUUGGUCUCAAAUCAGGCAAGACUACCCGCUGAACUUAA